CUACGGGACGCAGCAGUGAGGAAUAUUGCGCAAUGGGGGAAACCCUGACGCAGCGAUGCCGCGUGGAUGAUGAAGGCCUUCGGGUCGUAAAAUCCUGUCAGAAGGAAAGAAGUGUAUGGUAGCUAAUAUCUGCCAUACUUGACGGUACCUUCAAAGGAAGCACCGGCUAACUCCGUGCCAGCAGCCGCGGUAAUACGGAGGGUGCAAGCGUUGUUCGGAAUUACUGGGCGUAAAGCGCGCGUAGGCGGUUUUAUAAGUCAGAUGUGAAAGUCCACGGCUCAACCAUGGAAGUGCAUUUGUAACUGUAAGACUUGAGUAUUGGAGGGGGUAGUGGAAUUCCCGGUGUAGAGGUGAAAUUCGUAGAUAUCGGGAGGAAUACCGGUGGCGAAGGCGACUAUCUGGCCAAAUACUGACGCUGAGGUGCGAAAGCGUGGGGAGCAAACAGGAUUAGAUACCCCCGUAGUC
rnacentral:rRNA from 1 species